rnacentral:rRNA from 1 species
AAGAAUUUAAAAGUCGAACAGACUUAAAAUUUGAACGGCUACACCCAAAAUUAUAUCUUAAUCCAACAUCGAGGUCGCAAUCUUUUUUAUCGAUAUGAACUCUCCAAAAAAAUUACGCUGUUAUCCCUAAAGUAACUUAAAUUUUUAAUCAUUAUUAAUGGAUCAAUUACUCAUAAAUUAAUGGUUUUAAAAAUUAAAAGUUUUUUAAAUUUUAAUAUCACCCCAAUAAAAUAUUUUAAUUUAUUAUAAUAAAAAUAAUCUUUAUAAUUAAAAUAAACAAAAUAUAAAGAUUUAUAGGGUCUUCUCGUCUUUUAAAUUUAUUUUAGCUUUUUUACUAAAAAAUAAAAUUCUAUAAAAAUUUAAAUGAAACAGUUAAUAUUUCGUCCAACCAUUCAUUCCAGCCUUCAAUUAAAAGACUAAUGAUUAUGCUACCUUUGCACAGUUAAAAUACUGCGGCCAUUUAAAAUUUUCAGUGGGCAGG